UUCUAUAAUGAUAGAGAAAUGAAAGAGACUUACUCGUGAUUUCAUGUACUUAAUAUUUCUUUUGAAAAAAAGAAGGAUUGGCUGAACUUGAAAAUUGACUCAUUGAAUGAGUAAUUGAAUGAGUAAACGAUUGAAUCGUAUUCGGUUGGGUGGUACCAACUAAAUCAAGUGCUAACUCCCAUUUAUUUCUUAUUGAAUUAACCGAUCAACUUGCUAUCGGACAUUUAUUUUCGACUUGGCAUGGCACUAUUCAAAAAAACUUUCGACAUACUUUACUUUAAUUAUAAUUAUGAGAAUCAAUCCUACCCCUUCUAGUCCUGCGGUUUCCACACUUGAAGAACAAAACCUAGGGCGUAUCGCUCAAAUUAUUGGCCCAGUACUGGAUGUUGUUUUUCCUCCGGGCAAGAUGCCUAAUAUUUAUAACGCUUUGGUAGUUAAGGGUCGAGAUACUAUUGGUCAGCAAAUUAAUGUGACUUGUGAGGUACAACAAUUAUUAGGAAAUAAUCGAGUUAGAGCUGUAGCUAUGAGUGCUACAGAUGGACUGAUGAGAGGAAUGGAAGUGAUUGACACGGGAGCUCCUCUAAGCGUUCCAGUCGGUGGAGCUACCCUCGGACGAAUUUUCAACGUUCUUGGGAGCCUGUUGAUAAUUUAGGUCCUGUAGAUACUAGCACAACAUCUCCUAUUCAUAGACCUGCACCUGCCUUUAUACAGUUAGAGACGAAAUUAUCAAUCUUUGAAACAGGAAUUAAAGUAGUGGAUCUUUUAGCUCCUUAUCGCCGUGGAGGAAAAAUCGGACUAUUUGGAGGAGCUGGAGUAGGUAAAACAGUACUCAUCAUGGAAUUGAUCAACAACAUUGCCAAAGCUCAUGGAGGCGUAUCUGUAUUUGGCGGAGUAGGCGAACGUACUCGUGAAGGAAAUGAUCUUUACAUGGAAAUGAAAGAAUCCGGAGUAAUUAAUGAAAAAAAUAUUGCAGAAUCAAAAGUAGCUCUAGUCUACGGUCAAAUGAAUGAACCGCCGGGAGCUCGUAUGAGAGUUGGUUUGACUGCCCUAACUAUGGCGGAAUAUUUCCGGGAUGUUAAUGAACAAGACGUACUUCUAUUCAUCGACAAUAUCUUUCGUUUCGUCCAAGCAGGAUCAGAAGUAUCCGCCUUAUUGGGGAGAAUGCCUUCUGCAGUGGGUUAUCAACCUACCCUUAGUACAGAAAUGGGUUCUUUGCAAGAAAGAAUUACUUCUACCAAAGAGGGAUCUAUAACUUCGAUCCAAGCCGUUUAUGUACCUGCGGACGAUUUGACCGACCCUGCUCCUGCCACGACAUUUGCACAUUUAGAUGCUACUACCGUAUUAUCGAGAGGAUUAGCUGCCAAAGGUAUUUAUCCAGCAGUGGAUCCUUUAGAUUCAACGUCAACUAUGUUACAACCUCGGAUCGUUGGCGAGGAACAUUAUGAAACUGCGCAAAGAGUUAAGCAAACUUCACAACGUUACAAAGAACUUCAGGACAUUAUAGCUAUUCUUGGGUUGGACGAAUUAUCCGAAGAAGAUCGUUUAACUGUAGCAAGAGCACGAAAAAUCGAGCGUUUCUUAUCACAACCCUUCUUCGUGGCAGAAGUAUUUACUGGUUCUCCAGGGAAAAUAUGUUGGUCUUGCAGAAACAAUUAGGGGGUUUCAACUGAUCCUUUCCGGAGAAUUAGACAGUCUUCCCGAGCAGGCCUUUUAUUUAGUAGGUAACAUCGAUGAAGCUACCGCGAAAGCUAUGAACUUAGAAGAGGAGAGCAAAUUGAAGAAAUGACCUUAAAUCUUUGUGUACUGACUCCUAAUCGAAUUAUUUGGGACUCAGAAGUGAAAGAAAUAAUUUUAUCUACUAAUAGUGGCCAAAUUGGCGUAUUACCAAACCACGCCCCUAUUGCCACGGCUGUAGAUAUAGGUCUUUUGAGAAUACGCCUCAACAACGACCAAUGGUUAACGGUGGCUCUGAUGGGUGGUUUCGCUAGAAUAGGUAAUAAUGAAAUCACCAUUUUAGGAAAUGAUGCGGAAAUAAGUACUGACAUUGAUCCGCAAGAAGCUCAACAAGCUCUUGAAAUAGCUGAAGCUAACUUGAGUAGAGCUGAGGGUAAGAGACAAGCAAUUGAAGCGAAUCUAGCUCUCAGACGAGCUAGGACACGAGUAGAGGCUGUCAAUGUUAUUUCCUACUAGUCAAGUCAAUACAUCAAAAUAAUAAAGAGAAGUUUUUAAAAAGUUCUUUAUUAUACACCACAUGUUGAUUCUGCCAAUUGAACACAAUCAAGUCUAAUCUGAUAAAACAAAAAAAGAAGAUGGGGUAGAAAAACUUAUUAGAUAUCAUUUCAUCGACUCCGGUAUCUAAUAAGUUCUACCUACUAUUGGAUUUGAACCAAUGACUCCCGCCGUAUGAAAGCAAUACUCUAACCACUGAGUUAAGUAGGUCAUUUAUCACCACAAAAAGAACCCAUCACUUCGGGGAUUAUAGGUGGAAUAUUAUUUCUAAGCAAUACUAAUCUGUUCUGUUAAGCGUAAAUAAAUCUGUUCUGUUAAGCGUAAAUAAAAUAAAUAGAUCAGAGAGCUAUGAUGUGGAUUAUGGAAUAUCCAUCUUGACAAGAAAUUAUCUAUAUGUUAAGAUGUCUAUGACAAGGGCUAUAGCUCAGUUGGUAGAGCACCUCGUUUACACGCGCGCCAAUGCUUUUCAAAGGAGCCUAUUAUGCAAUGAACAUAAUUGAUCGUAUUGAGAAAUCGAUGUCUUACUCCAUAGGUUCGAGGGAACAAGAGAACAAUAGCCUGACAAAUAUUUGGUUCGGUCCGAUUCAGGCGCGAAUUCAGUUGCCAAAUCAAAUAGAACCCGCCAUUGAUUUGAUAGUUGAUAAGGUAAAUACCCAGCCCAUUCAAUGCUAGGCAUAAUGAGUAUAAGGGCCUCAAAAUAACCUCUUUUCGUCCUAUGAACUUUAAGGUGUAUGAAGUCUCAUAUUCGACUGUUGCAGCGGGAGCGAUAGAGAUUCCAUUUAACUUAGGUUGAUCUAGGCCGAAGGCAGACCUAAGUCAAGAUAACCCUUCUUUGAAACACUUUGGUAUUGCUCCUAGAUCAGAAUACAAAUAAUAAAUCAGAGCACAUGGAACCAUCUCAUUAUCUUCCUCUAAAGAAAAAAAUAUGGUGGACUAACUGAUCUUUACAUCAGUUGAUGAAAGAGCCCAAUGCAACAAAAUGCAUGUUGGGUCUUUGAAACAGUUUCGAAUCAUUUCGAUAAUAAUCAGUUUGAUCUGUUUUACCGAGAAGGUCUACGGUUCGAGUCCGUAUAGCCCUAAUCCUAAUAUAUUAUAUUUUUGUUUAGUAUAUAGUUUAGUGUUUAGUAUAUAGUUUAGUAUGGUUUUCAUUUCUAUGGGACCAACCAAGUCUAAUCCUAAGUCACAUGGGUCUAGGACCUAUUCUUUUUCUUGGUCUUGGGUCUUGUCUUGUAUUUGGAGAAUCCCCCUAACUAAUCACUAAUCGUUUUUUGGCAGAACAAGAGCAACCUUAUUGAUUGAUUCAGAGAUAAUGGAGAGAUAACGAAUUGGGCCUAAAUAUAUUAACGUUUCUUCUUCUAUAUUCUAUGAGUUGAGUGGGUUUGUGGAUUUGAUUUGGUCCGUCGAAUCAUUCGAUAAUGUGUGAUUCUUUCUAUUUGAAAAUGUUAUGUAAAUCAUUUAUGAUUCCGUCGAUUAUACUACUCCACUCUUUGCUAUGUUUCAUUGUCUAGUAUAGGUUUGCUGUAAAACCUUUUUCUUGUAGCGAAAUCUAACCCAUUGCUUGGUCUUACCAUUAUAUUAUUAAGCGUUAUUGCCGUAACAAAACAAACAAGUAUUUUGGUUCAUUCCAAAUCGUAAUCUUUGUUUAGUAUUAGAGAUUGGUCCGAAAUAGAAUGAAUCUUUCAUUCUAACUCUAAUGAAAUAACUCGAUUCUUCUUAUUUAUUUCUGAGGAGGUGGGAUAGUACAGGUUCCAAGUUUCCAAUUUUUUGUAUAGAAAGAUAUAAGUUGUUAUAUGUCACCUCUCAAUUCAACGGAUUGAAUCAAUUAAGAAAAAUAGAAAUGAAAUCUAGGACAAGAAAAAGAUAAAAAAUCAUUCGAUGCAUUAGAUUAUGUAUUCAUAUUCGUAUCAAAUCAAUAGAAGCAAUGAUCCUAUACCCAGAUUUUAAUGAAAAAGGAAUACUUCGAAUAAUAUAGAAUAUGCUAGAAAUCCCUAGACAUUUUACCCCAUAUGACUAUUGAAAAAUUUAAGUUUUAAAAAAAGGAAAUGAAAUUAUUAUUAUUUCAUUAUGUUGAUUAUAUAUAAUCAACAUAGUAUUCUAAUGAAUAUAGUAUUCAUAGUAUUUAAUUAUAGGAUAUUUACUUUACUAUAUUAUAGGGUAUUGAUAUUUAUUAUAGUUAUAGGCAUAGGAAUAGUUAUAGGCAUAGGAUAUUUUAGUAUUUUAUUACCUUUUUCUAGAGGAUAGAGAACCCAAGACAAAGUGAGAGAGUUUUGUUUGUGUAAGAGCAUCCUAUGUCUACACCAUAUCUAAAUAGAAUCGAAAUCCAAAAUGUAAGUGGGAUUCCAUUAGAUGAAUCUUUAAACAAAACAUGCCCCACAGCAAACAAACUCUAAACUAUGCAGUUUGAUUUGAUCAAAAUCAAUUCUUGUUUCGCCUAAGAUAAGAAGUUAUGGAUGAAUUGACAAUUCCGAUUCGAAUCGAAUAAUUCAGCAUAUUCCACAUUAAUAGGAGUACAUUUAUGUUUCUGCUUCACGAAUAUGAUAUUUUCUGGGCAUUUCUAAUAAUAUCAAGCGUUAUUCCUAUCUUGGCAUUUGUAAUUUCCGGAGUUUUAGCCCCGGUUAGUGAAGGACCAGAGAAGCUCUCUAGUUAUGAAUCGGGUAUAGAACCCAUUGGGGAUGCUUGGUUACAAUUUCGAAUCCGCUAUUACAUGUUUGCUCUAGUUUUUGUUGUUUUUGAUGUUGAAACGGUCUUUCUUUAUCCAUGGGCAAUGAGUUUCGAUGUAUUGGGUGUAUCUGUAUUUAUCGAAGCUUUAAUUUUUGUGCUUAUCCCAAUUGUUGGUUCAGUUUAUGCAUGGCGAAAAGGAGCAUUGGAAUGGUCUUAACUGAAUAUUCAGACAAUCAAAAUAAAAAUGAAGGAAAAGAUUACAUUGAGACAGUUAUGAAUUUGAUUGAGUUUCCCUUAGAUUGACAAAACAAUUACCAAUUCAGUUAUUUCAACUACAUUGAAUGAUCUUUCGAAUUGGUCAAGACUUUCCAGUUUAUGGCCGCUUCUAUACGGUACCAGUUGUUGUUUCAUUGAAUUUGCUUCAUUAAUAGGCUCGCGAUUCGACUUUGAUCGUUAUGGAUUGGUACCAAGAUCGAGUCCUAGACAAGCAGACCUAAUUUUAACAGCCGGCACAGUAACAAUGAAAAUGGCUCCUUCUUUAGUAAGAUUAUAUGAGCAAAUGCCUGAACCAAAA